GACGAACGCUGGCGGCGUGCCUAAUACAUGCAAGUCGAACGCAUUUUCUUUCACCGUAGCUUGCUACACCGAAAGAAAAUGAGUGGCGAACGGGUGAGUAACACGUGGGUAACCUGCCCAUCAGCUGGGGAUAACACUUGGAAACAGGUGCUAAUACCGCAUAAUUCCAUUUACCGCAUGGUAGAUGGGUGAAAGGCGCUUUUGCGUCACUGAUGGAUGGACCCGCGGUGCAUUAGCUAGUUGGUGGGGUAACGGCCUACCAAGGCUGCGAUGCAUAGCCGACCUGAGAGGGUGAUCGGCCACACUGGGACUGAGACACGGCCCAGACUCCUACGGGAGGCAGCAGUAGGGAAUCUUCGGCAAUGGACGCAAGUCUGACCGAGCAACGCCGCGUGAGUGAAGAAGGUUUUCGGAUCGUAAAACUCUGUUGUUAGAGAAGAACAAGGAUGAGAGUGGAAAGUUCAUCCCUUGACGGUAUCUAACCAGAAAGCCACGGCUAACUACGUG
rnacentral:rRNA from 1 species